rnacentral:rRNA from 2 species
CAUGACUGGGGUGAAGUCGUAACAAGGUAGCCGUAGGGGAACCUGCGGCUGGAUCACCUCCUUAAUCGACGAC